GUUUGUGCACCUGAGAUAGGAGGCUGCAGUGUGGGACAGUAGGGAUAUGGGAGCAGGACCCCAUGGCUGUGGGAUGGACUGUUUAAGAUAUUCUCAUGAGGAACGAUCCCCAGCUCUGAGGACAGGAGAGGCCAGCAGUGGCAAAUGAAGCCAUGAAGUGGCUUGGCUGGAUGUCUCCACCAGUGACGUGACCAUGUGCUGAGCAAGAAGGAAGCAGUGCUGGGCAGCUCUGAGAGGUUUCUGAGAAGAGAGCCAGCAGUGAAACCUGGAGGCUGUUGCAGCUAAUCAAGUCAUGAUGGAAAGAGGCAUGGAAUGUUCUGCAGGUGCUGGAGCUCCGUGAUUUCUGUUAAAAGCUUGUCAUUCCGUGCAGUAGAGGUUCUGUCAUGUGAUAUUACUCCACGCAGAGGGAAGCCAGAGCAGCUUUACACCACUGGAAAAUGCUGAGCUUUGGCUGGGGAAGCUUGGAGUCAGGAGGUGUCUGAGCACAGGGCAGUCCCAUCACUGGAUCUUCAGCCAUGUUCCUGCUUCUGCAGCAGAUGAGUUCAGGGAGACUGGUUUAAGCAGUGCAGAAGUUCAUGGAUGGAAGAAGAGUCCUCGUUUCAGAGCACCUAAACAUGAAGAUUUUAUAAACGCCAUUAGGAGAACUGGCGUGCAGGAGGAAUGGAUCUCAUCUGUCUGCUGUGAUUCUUGACCCACCUAAUUGGCUGAUGGCCACGAGCAAUAACAGCGUGGCUCAGGGGAGCGGCGCUGGGGCAGAGAAGCACUGUGCUGUGCUGAAGGCAUUGCGUGUGAUCCUGCCAUUGAUGACCAAACCUCCCUGAAAUCUUCUUAUCAGUUGCUGCCAAGAUGAGAAGGAUAGCAGGAAAGAGGAGUGUGUUGUUGCUCUCACUAAGCAAGGAAGUUGAACUGUUUUCCUGAGCACACCCAGAAUUAAUUCAGCCCAAGCUGAUCAUGUUAUCACAUGCUGGUUACUGCUGGCCCGGGCCAUUCUGAUGGAAGAGCAGGAAGCACACAGACCAGCUGCACCAAUGGCUUGCCUGGGAAGGGGUGUCACCAACAGGGGAGUUGUGGAGCUGGUGGUGGUUUGGUGUUUUCAGCAGGUGCAGCUGCAUCUCUAAGCUCGCGGUGUGGAGCACCCUGCCAAGCACACUGCUCCUCUGCGCUGCAGUGAGAAGUGGAUGACCAGUGCUGCACACAGCUAAGCACACAGCCUUAUCAGCAAGCGUGCUUUAGGUAGGUACGGGUGCAAAGUGCUUUCCUGAAGGAGCAGGCAGGUGUGGAAAAUAUCGGAAGGCCAGGUUCUUCUGCUGUGACUCCUUACAGCAAGCCCAGCGCCGGGCUGACGCUGUCAGCAGCAGCCACACCUCUGCCAGCCCCAGACGGUGCCAGGUGGGUGGAAGCCUGGGAUCAGUGGGAAGGGACACAGCAGGGAAGACAAACAUGCUGUUGUUUUCUGAACGCUUCCAGGUUAAAGCACGGCCAUCUUCAUCUCCGCACUGAGAGAGAGGAAGUCGCGGAGUCACACUGUUGAGCAGCACAGAGGCUGGAGGUGAUUUUUUUUUUUUUUUUCCUCCCCCAAAGUCUUUUAAAAUAGUUAUAAUUAAAUCACAGAACUUUUGCAUGGAAAGCGAAAGCCAGUGGCAGUUAUUUAAUAAGAAAUGCUUUGUUAAGCAUAAAUUUUUAAAAUUCUUAGUAGCAAUAUGUAGUAUCUGUAUUUUGUGUUGUUCUUACAGCUAUUUGGCUUAAGACCAUCAUGCUUUCACUUCCGUAUUUUGGGGCAUUUAAACUGUUAAACUCUAAGCACUUUUCAGGCAUUACGUUUGACUUACUGUUAUUACGUACAAUAAAAUAUAACAGAACACAAUAUUAAAGUCUAUGCUGAAAGAAUAUUAUUUGGUGGCUACAAAUAAAGAAUGCGGACAAGUUUUUAAAAUCUGUUUGGGUUUUCAUUUUUUUGCUAAUUCUUUAAAGGAAGUGUUGUAAUUAUUAGCAUUAUUUUUAACACAGAAAAAAAGUGUUCCUUCCUGGGAUGUAUAAAAUGCAGUAGUAUACUGUUGUCUUAUAUUUCUAGGGCUGUAUUAAAUAAACUGAAAAUAUACACUUGUUAAUUUUAGCAUCCUGUUAGCAUAUGCAGUAGGAACUAGUUUUAUAUCUGAAUGUGCCAGUGAGAAGCUGUGUAUUUUCAGCUGUUUCUGUAUCCCAAUAAACCCAUCCGACAGACUGGGCUCUGCAAAAGUUAAAGAUGAAAAAUUGGUUUCUGAACUCCUUGUGUGCUGCUUUAGCAUUGCAAGUUGAUUCCCAUGUGCUAAAGUGUAAACUACCAAGUAAUCCGUAGGAGUUUUACAGGAGCGAGUC